rnacentral:rRNA from 1 species
UACGGGGGGAGCAAGCGUUGUUCGGAUUUACUGGGCGUAAAGGGCGCGUAGGCGGCCAGCACAAGUCAGUUGUGAAAUCUCCGAGCUUAACUCGGAAAGGUCAACUGAUACUGUGCGGUUAGAGUGCGGAAGGGGCAACUGGAAUUCUUGGUGUAGCGGUGAAAUGCGUAGAUAUCAAGAGGAACACCUGCGGCGAAGGCGGGUUGCUGGGCCGACACUGACGCUGAGGCGCGAAAGCCAGGGGAGCGAACGGG